GAUUAACUAUGGGGUAAUUAUUAAUACCGUAGUUAUAUAUUUAAAUACAAACUGUAAUCUAUAUAUAAACAUACUAUCAUCGACCAGUGAAUGUUGGAACUUCGAUUAUUUUAUACAAAUCUUAUGUAUCAGAAAAUCAAAUUAUUUUUAGAACUUCUAUGUAUAUAUUGAAGAUUGGAGUAGUCGAAAAUAUGAAUCAGUGAAUUUGUAAAUGCAUAAGAAUAAUAAUUUAAAAUGGAAAUUAGCAAGAACAAUAUAUUUGAAGGGGAAGAAAAGGACCGCAACUACUUUUUAGUACAUGUAACAUGAUCUAUUUCGCUUCAUUAUACCUCAAGCUCCGGAGCUUCAACAUUUAUUGGUGUUGAGUAGGUUUGUUAUAAUUGUCAUGACUGUGAAGUAUCAACUUGAACGUGUAUUAUACAAGACGGUGAGCGAGGGGCAAAAAGACAAGGAUUGGGUUUCAUUCUCAAUCUUUCCGGUGCAUCAUCAACCACACAUGCUUUUUCACGAACCUGCCGUAAUUUAGCCUUUUAUGUAGAAAAUUAAGACAAUCAUUCCACUGACUAAUCAAUAUAAAUGAUAAAUUGGAUAAAUAUUAUGGACUUAAAUUUCGAACACAGGUCCAUUUU
rnacentral:lncRNA from 1 species